GGUUGCCAAGGGGGCUUUGGGCUCUUCUUUUCCCAGGAAGAGACUGACCCAUUGUUACCAAUGCAGAGCUGGAAGCUGAAAUUUUUAAGGCAGACGAAAGGGAGAAAAGCACUUCCUAAGCACCAAGAAGAAGAGUUGAUAACUUGAAGUUAAGAUGUGAUGGUUCUUUGGAGAAGAAAGCAGCACCUGAGUCAAACUGCACUGAGCAAUGUUCUUUGUUGUUGUGAGAUAUUGAUAAAUCUCCAGGUCUUCAACAAGGGGAGUCGGGAAUAGGAAACUCAUUUCAAUUCAUAUCUCAGGUGACAAGAAGGUUACCAUAUUUGAGGCAAUCUGCUGGGUUGCGUGGCUGCAAACAUCUGUAGAACAUUCUGCCUUACAUUGCUGGAGACUGUCUCCUACCACGUGAAUCUUUGAUGCUGGUUUCACUUUCAGGAGCUCUAAGAAUGAGUCAACUCUCCCUUCUGAGUUGGCCACCCCUCAACCAAGAUGGGACAGUGAUCUCAUUCCUCUCAGCAGGAGUGCUGAGCUCAGACAGCUAUGAAAACCAAAAAUCACCCCAGGUAAGUUAUGAGGGUUUGAAGAGAACCAGAGUGGUUCAUUAAUAGGAAGAAGCUGUGAGUUGUGAGCUUCUUCUCAUCAUGUGAGCGUUGUUAUAGAUAAAUGAAGACCCAACAGUGCCAGAGCUUUCAAAUCUCCAAGAGAAGCGUUCAGUCUGAAUUGAUACAUGAAAUGUCUCAGUAUUUAAAAGCUGACAACCAAAUCAGAAAAUAAUUUUAAACAUCAUAUAGGCCUAAUGAAACACAUCUCAAAGGCAGAUCCAAAUCACAGAAUUCCAAUCACAAGUUGAAAUCCACUUCUUUAAAAUCUUUUCUUCUCUGACUGGGCAUGGUGGCACAUGCCUAUAGUCUCCCAGCUACUCAGGAGGCCAAAGGAGGAGAAUUGCUUGAGCCCAGGAGUUCAAGGCUAGCCUGGGCAACACAGCAAGACUGUCUCUAAAAGUAAAAUUAAAAUCUUUUCUCCAAA